rnacentral:rRNA from 1 species
UACGUAGGGUGCAAGCGUUAAUCGGAAUUACUGGGCGUAAAGCGUGCGCAGGCGGUUUUGUAAGUUUGUCGUGAAAGCCCCGGGCUCAACCUGGGAAUUGCGAUGAAGACUGCAAGGCUUGAAUCUGGCAGAGGGGGGUAGAAUUCCACGUGUAGCAGUGAAAUGCGUAGAGAUGUGGAGGAACACCGAUGGCGAAGGCAGCCCCCUGGGUCAACACUGACGCUCAUGCACGAAAGCGUGGGGAGCAAACAGG